rnacentral:lncRNA from 1 species
CAUCCUUGAGAGAUAGAAAAUACCAAGCCACUAGAGGAUGUGACUCCAAUUUCUAUACACCCCGACCAUCCAGACCGUCAUGUGGUGAUCGGGACUGAAUUGACUGAAGAGCUAUAAAGUGCUUUGGUGGAAUUUUUAAAGAAUUAUUACGAUAUAUUUUCAUGGUCACAAGGCAAUGUCCCAGGAGUAGAUCCUCAUAUCAUCGUUCACAAGCUUUUUACUGGCCAUCCAAUAAAGGAGGAAGUUCGCCCUAGAACGUCUAAAAGUUAUAGAGGAAGAGGAGUCCAAGCUAAUCAAAGUCGUCGUUAUCAAGGAAUUCGAUUACCCAGAUUAGUUGGCUAAUGUUAUCGUCGCCCCUAAAAAGGGCAGAAAAUGGAGGGUAUGCAUUGAUUUUACCGACCUGAACAAAGCAUGCCCUCAAAACAGCUUCCCCCUUCCGAAGAUUGAUUUGAUAAUUGAUGCAAUCUCCAAACGCGAACUCCUAAGUUUCAUGGAUGCCUUCUCGGGGUACCAUCAGAUUAAAAUGCAUCCCCCGACAUUAAGAAGACAUCGUUCAUCACGGAAAGAGGAUUGUAUUAUUACAAGGUCAUGCCCUUCAAAAUGAAGAAUACAGAAGCAACAUACCAAAGGCUGGUCAACAGGAUGUUCAAAGAACUAAUUGGGAAGACGAUGAAAGUAUACAUUGACGACAUGCUAGUAAAAAGCCUCAAAGUCGCCGAUCACUUGGGAGAAACAUUUAGUAUCUUUCGCAAAUAUCGCAUGAUGUUAAACCCCUCCAAAUGCAUCUUUGGCGUAUCAUCGGAAAAAUUUCUUGACUUCUUAGUGACCAAACGAGGGAUAGAAGCAAAUCUCAACCAAAUUCAAGUCCUGCUCGUGAUGAGCUCGCCCAAAAAUGUCUGCGAAGUACAACAGCUGAUUGGACGAGUGGCGGCUCUCAACAGAUUUAUUUCAAAAUCAACGGACAAAUAUUUACCAUUCUUCAAGAUUUUGAGGAAAAAUAAGGCCUUUCAAUGGACGAAUUAGUCCGAGAUGGCAUUCUAACAGCUAAAAGAAUAUUUGGGGUCGCCUCCUCUACUUACAAUUCCCAACGUGGGUAAAGAACUCACCUUGUACCUAUCUGUGUCGCCUACCUUGGUGAGCUCCGUGCACAUCAAGGAAGAGGACAAAGUUCAGAAAUCAGUGUACUACGUCAGCAAAGUCCUCAUAGAGGCAGAGAUCAGAUAUCUGAAGAUCGAAAAACUCGCCUACGCUCUCAUGAUCGCAAAAGGAAAACUCCGUCACUAUUUUCAAGCAUACCCUAUUGUUGUGCUCAUAAAUCAGCCCCUAAAGUAAAUUCUACAACAACCUGACACCUCAGGACGAUUACUCAAGUGGUCCAUUUAGUUGAGCAAAUUUCACAUCAACUACUGACCAAGGAUGGCGAUCAAGGCCCAAGCACUGACCGAUUUAAUAACUGAAUUCACAUACGAUGUUGCUCUAAGUCCUGAGAUUGAGAUCCUCGAGGAGUGGUAGAUCAGAGAUAGUGACAUCACAAGAUGGAAGUUGUUCGUUGAUGGAUCAUCCAACCAACAUGGUUAUGGUGCAGGCCUCGUACUUUAAAACCCUUUAGGGGAGUUGCCAUACGCAUUAAGUUUAAAGCCACCAGUAUGAGGUGGAAUAUGAAGUUCUCCUCGCCGAAUUGAGGGUCGCAAUGGAAUUGAAAGUGGAAUUCUUAGACACUUAUAGUGACUCUCAACCCAUGGUGAAUCAAGUUUAAGGAGAUUACCUCGCCGAAGAUCUCCGUAUGUUGGCAUAUUUGGACAAGGUGAAGGCCAUGACGAUGAAAAUUAAAGAUUUCAAGAUCCGUCAAAUUCCUCGAGAAGAAAACAAGCAAACCAAUGCCUUGGUAAACUUGGCCUUCGCUUUUGAUUUUAUCUCAAACAUAAGCGUCCCUCUCGAAUUCUUACCAAACCCAAGCAUCGAUGUCGCCAAGACUGUCUGCCAAGCAACAGUAGAACCAACAUGGAUGGACGGCAUCACCGCGUACCUCAAAGCAGGGGAGCUACUAUCCAAUAAACUCCAGGCACGACGAAUUCAAUAUCAAUCAUCCAGAUUUUACCUCCUCCAUGAGAUGCUAUACAAGAGAUCUUUCUUAGGAUCACUCCUGAGAUGUCUCCGACUAGAGGAAGCAGAUUACGUACUGAGAGAGAUUCACGAAAGCAUCGGCGAAAAUCAUUCUUGGGCUAGAUUACAAGUCAGAAAGGCAGUUCGCCAAGGAUACUUUUGGCCAUUUUCUCAAUGGGGGAUAGACGUGCUCGACCUCUUCCUCAAACUUCGUUAUAGAUAAAUUUUUUGAUUAUCGUUAAAGAUUACUUCACCAAGUGGAUAGAAGCGGAACCUCUCGCCAAAAUCACUAAAAAAACCUAGUAAUUUUGUUUGGAAAAAUAUCAUUUGCUGAUUUGGGAUUCCAAGGGUAAUCGUCUCUGAUAAUGCGAAACAAUUCGACAAAGAUAGAUUUAAACCAUUUUGCUCAAACCUCGCCAUCUCUAAUCAUUUCUCCUAGCCCGGUCAUCCUCAAGCAAAUGGCCUAGUAGAGGUCACCAACAUGACGAUCUUGAGGAACUUGAAGGCAAGGCUAGAAAAAUCUAAGAGCGAAUGGGCAAAUGGGCCUGCCACACAACGAGUAGGAUCCCGAUAGGUGAAACGCCUUACUCUCUAGUGUAUGAGACAGAGUCGGUCAUACCAGUAAAGAUAGGGUUGCCUAGGUUCAGGAUGAUGAAUUUUGACAAGGAGAACAACGAGCAAAAUUGAGGCUUAACCUCGAUCUCCUUGUCGAAACGAGGGAGCGUGUCAGGGUGCACCAAGCUACCUACAAGUAUCAGAUCAUGAAAUAUUAUAAAAGAGGGUUAAACGCAGGUCAUUUCGAUUCGACAGGCGCAAGGUGGUCCAUGCCCCCCCAAAAAAAAGGGGUGGAAAAAAAGUUUAUUGGCUAGAAGACUUGUACGAGAAAGCGUUACCCUACCCAUGAAAUGUCGAGCACUUGAAGAAAUAUUAUCAAUAGUUUUUUUGGUCGCCAUGUUGUGAAGAUCGCCUAAAUAAUGACAUUUGAGCAUUGUCAUCGUUAAAGUUCUGGUUAAUUAAAAUGAAGCUGUGAUUGUCAAUUUUCAUGUAAUUAUGAUUAUUUUAAUGGAAUUGUCAAUUUCUCCAGUUCAAUUAUUGCCAAAUGUUAAUAUCAUCGCCAAUGCAUUAUUAGAGUCGCCAAACUGAGUUGCCAAUUUUAUCACCGCUUUAACCAAAUAAAUGCAUGAUAUUGUUAUUGUCCAAUUCAAAAUUGUUAUAUAGCCAAAAUCAAAAUUGUUUUAUCUUUGGGUUUGCCAUUGACAUCGCCCACAUGAAUUUUUCAAUUAUUGCCAAGUUUAUUCGCCAAUUCCAAAUGAUGCAAGUAUUUUUUAUUUGCUAAAGUAACAUAUUGUAUUCUUCAAUUAUUUGAAAAAGGCAUUUUGCCUCGCCAGUCCUCAAUAGUCAUUCGCCGAAUAUUCUGAUUCCUGAUCGUCAUGAUAAGUUAAUGUCACCAACCUUACUACUACUCUUCCGUUGAGUAGUGUUUAACUUAUUAUGUAUGCCUAACGAUUUUGAUUCGCCAAGUUCAUUUUGCCAGCUUCAUCACAUUGCCUAUUCGUUAGUAAUGAAGUCGCCAGACCACAUUUAUAAUCACUCAAGUGAAACAAACACAUUGCCAUAGAAACGAGCAGAUAUGAAGAAAGACCAUUUUAUUAAUGUCGUCUUUGCAAAAAAAAGAGUACAUGGAGAUACCUAUUGAAGAAGGUUGGUGUCUGGCAUAUCCAAGUCGGGAUCGAUCUGGAGAUCUUGUAUAUCAAGGUGUGGAUGAAGGAUGACGAUCUACUUUUUGUACAAGUCGAAGCCCUUACCAAAGUACGAGGAGGCCGCUCCUUCCAAAGCUCCUUGUACUCAUGUAAAGAUUUGAACUCGUCAAUUGCAGAUGUCUUAGUGAGGGCUUCCUUCUUCUUCACCUCAGCCAUCUCUUUUUCAUGCCUCUUUAGGGCAACAUCAUGGUUUUUUUUCAAUUUCUUCACCUUCUUUUCAGUUCCCUGCUUCUCAGCCUCAAGCUCGGCUACCCGGCCCUCCAGGUCGGCCACCUUUUGGGCACAAGUCAUCUUAUCCCAAUGGAUGAGGCAUUGGCCUGCUGAGUCAUUGCCUCAUCUCGCAUCUUUUUGGCGCAAUCAGUAAGAGAAUACCCCAACACCACUACCCGCGAAAAACAAUGAACUUUUCAGAAUAUUGAAAAUACAAAAGUACGAGCAGGAUUAGGAAAGAAGUAAUCACCUGACUGAGGGAAAGAUCUUGUGGUCUCCAUAUCAAGGUCCAACCUGUUCACUGUCUCCCUGUCAACGGGCAGAAUGAACCACUGGAGAAGCUUUUCGCCACGACAAGAUUCUCUAUGGCAGAGGCUUCAAGCCCUAGGAUAACUCCUGGGUUGGCCAAGGUCCCCUCCCAGGGGACUACAGAAGUUGGCAUAUCUCGGGUCGUCGCACAGCCCGACGUCGCCUUGGACUUAGCAGGGGCCUUUGUAGUAGGCCCUUGCUUCUUAUCGUCGGGUGGUGGCAUGGAUCCUUUUUUUUUUGCAUAUACCGCCUAUUUUCCUUUCUUUAAAGGCGAGAUGUCUGGCGUCUCUUCUCGAUACCGCUUCACGCCGAUUUGGGCACACUUUUCCCUAGUUGGGGUCAUACCUUUCUUGGGCUUGCCCUUUGCCUUGCCAACUGGGCGAGCUUCUUCAUGUCUAUUUUCUUUGACAUCGUUGCAUAAGGAAAUCAAAGUCAAUUAAAAAAGAAGAUGGAAUAUUUAAAGGGAAAGAAGGCAAUACCAUCCAAUUUUAGCUUAGGGUAGUCGUAAAUCCAACCAGGUCUCCAAGCUAAAAAAAAACGGAAAAAAGAAGGGGGGGGCCCCCCCCCUAGAGAGAGGCUGAGUAGUAUGGUUCCCAAUAAAGAAAAAAGGGCUAGAUUUUAGCCCUGAGCAUCGAUAACAACAUCUAAUCAUAGAGGAAAGGCAGGAUUUCCCUUUGUCUCAUCCUAAUGGUGGCUACGUACUCCACCAAGUCAUCUCGGGAAUGAUCACCUAAGGGAGAUCACCUUGGGAAAGGUAGGACUCGCCCUCAUCGCUCGUAACUUGAGCUGUGUCACCCGCAGAUUUCUCCUCAGCAUUGUCCCUACCAUUGGACACCAUUUUCCAAGAGUCGAGCAAAGCUACGGAGAAAAGACUUCGAGUGAGGGAUUCCUUAAUUGCAUAGAACUGACCUCGCUUUAAAGUGCCGGAGAUUUGGUCAAUCCUUACUUGUUUGUUCUCGGUCAAGACGGGUGACACGUUACAGCAUCGAUCUGAAAAUGUUAGCACAAUGUUAGAGAAGGAAGAAAGGUAAAACUUAAUAAAUGAAGAACGAUCUAGUAAAUGAAAGUUGACCAGGGGUGCUCCACGACCUCAGAACUUCAAGUUCCCGAGAUAAUCCAUGGGCGAGCUCCUAGUUAUCCCCCGAAAUGAAGAAGAAUUUCUUCUUCCAUCCCUUGACAUUGUUGGGACUCCCCGAGUAGGGUACACUUGGGUCUCGCCUUGAAGUAUAGCCACCCAAUGUUUGGCCUUGGAUUGUUAAAAAGGCCGAACAAAUGACUAAACUCGUUCAGAGAAAGGGCAAAUUUCUUAAACCGACACGGUACCAAUGCGCCGACCAUACUUCGCCACGCAUUGGGGCUUAGUUGGACGAGACAAAAAUUGUAGUGGGCCAACAUACUCCUAAUUAUUGGAUGAAUGGGAAGACGCAGACCAGCCUGAAAGGGAGAGAGAGAGGGAAAGGAUCAGAUCUGUUGUUUGAAAUCGUGCUUCAUGAGCAUUUAAUUGAAGAAGAAGUUAGAAAGUCAACAAAAUAAAAGCACCUAGAAUUCUCUCUCCUUUAUGAAACCUGAAUCGGGAGAAGAAAAGGGGAAUCACACCCUCGUUUCUCUCUCCUCACUUUCUCUCCAAAAAAAUCCCAAAAUUAUGCCAUUACAAUCUUUCACCACCACAUCAUAGAGCCGCCGCCGCUCGAUAAGAAAAUUCACCCCAAUUAGCGCAUUGCCGCCACACUGCCACUAUCAUCCUCGGCCCCAUCUCUGCCCAAUUCAGUGACUAUAAUAAGCGUGGGAUGAUGUGUUCUCGGAUAUUCUAAUCGCCGAUUUGGCCUCGACAUAGUCACUCUCUCUCAUCUAUUACCUCGUCCUUCUCUCUAUCCCUACUCUCUCUAUUUCAUCUUUCACAAAAAAAUGAAGUAUGAACCCAUAUGAAAUUGAGCCACUAAAGAGAGACAAUUGGGUCAUGAAAGUAGAUUCUACAGCGACUUGACACCUCGGGAAGACUCCUCAAAUGGUCCAUUGAGCUAAGCGAGUUCCACAUUGAUUAUAGACCUUGGAUGGCGAUCCAAGCCAAAACCUUGGCUAAUUGUUUUCCUGAAUUUACGUAUGAUGUCACCCCGAAAUCUGAGGAAAAUCUACCCAAGGUGGAAACUCCAAAAAAAAAAUUUAGAUGAGGACCUCGCUAGAUGAAAAUUGUUCGUGGACGAAUCAUCAAACCAGCAUGGCUGUAGUGCAGGAUUGAUUCUCCAAACUUCUUCAGGCGAGCAGAUGGAAUACGCCAUUCGUAUAGGGUUUAAAGCCACCAACAAUAAAGCCGCAUAUGAGGCUCUCCUCGCCAGACUAAGAGUUGCAAUAGAAUUAGGAAUAGAUUCCCUGGACGCUUUAAUGAUUCUCAACUCGUAGUAAAUCAAGUCCAAGGAGACUACCUCACCAAAGAUACAAGGAUGUUAGCCUACUUAGACAAAGUGAAGAAUAUGUCCAGGAAGAUCAAGGACUUUAAAAUUUGCCAAAUUCUCAAAAAAGAGAAUAAGAAGGCUGGUGCUCUAGCCAACCUCACCUCAAACUUUGAUUUUGUCUCAGACAUGAGUAUACCUCUGGAGUUUUUACCAAACCCAAGCAUUGAGGUCGCCAAAUCAGUCUAUCAGAUAGAAACGUGCCCAACAUGGAUGGACAACAUUAUCGCAUAUCUCCAAAAUGGCACACUACCACCAGACAAACUCCAAGCUCACUGAAUCCAAUACAAGUCUGCAAGAUUUUACCUUCUCCAUGGAAUGUUGUAUAAAAGAUCUUUUUCAGGGCCUCUCCUAAGGUGUCUCUGACCUGAAAAAGGGGAAUACGUAUUAAGGGUAAUUCAUGAAGGUAUCUAUGGAAAUCAUUCAGGGGCAAUUCAUGAAGGUAUAUAUGGCAAUUCAUGAGGUCACUAGUGAGAAAAGUAGUUCAUCAAGGUUAUUUCUAGCCACAGAUAGAACGAGAUACGAUGACAUACACAAGGAAAUGUGACAAAUGCCAAUGAUUUGCCCCAAUUAGUCAUCUCCCUCACACCGAGAUAGUCCUGAUGACCAGCCCAUGGCCAUUCGAACAAUGGAGAAUUGACAUACUUGGCCUCUGUCGUAAGCUCUAUUACAAAGAAAAUUCUUAAUCGUCGCCAUCGAUUACUUCACAAAAUGGAUAGAAGCUGAACCUCUAGCCAAGAUCAUAGAAAGAAACACCAGGAAUUUCAUAUGCAAGAGCGUCAUCAUUCAUUGGUUCGGAAUUUCCAAAGUUAUCAUCUCGGACAAGGCCAAGCAAUUUGACAAUGAUGGAUUCAAGAAAUUCUACUCAGACCUCGCCAUCUCUCACCAUUUAUCCUCGCCUGGUCAUCCCUAAGAAAAUGGUCAAGUAAAAGUCACCAACUGAACAAUCGUAAAGAAUUUUAAGGCGAGGCUAGAAAAAUCUAAGGGUGAAAGGGCAGAAGAUCUACGAAGUAUACUUUGGGCAUAUCAUAUGAUAAGCAGAAUACCUAUGGGUGAGAUGCCAUACUCCAUGGUCUAUGGGAUAGAAUCAGUUAUACCAGUGGAAAUAGGAAUGCCGAGCUUCAGAACCUCAAAAUUCGACAAGGAGAACAAUGAAAUCGAGUUGAGGCUCAACCUUGACCUCUUUUACGAAAAGAGGGAGCGAGCUGAGGUACGCCUAGCAGCUUACAAGCACUAGGUCGCCAAAUACUACAAUCAUAGAGUCAAGCACAGGUCCCUCUUGACAAGCUACCUAGUCCUAAGAAAGUUACUUUGUCCACAAAGGAACCAAAUGUAGGGAAGCUCGGUCUUACAUGGGAAGGCCCCUACAAGGUCAUUAAAGUAUACAGACUGGGAACUUAUUGGCUGCAAGACAUGGACAAGAAGGCCCUUCCUCACCCCUGGAAUGCCGAACACUUAAAAGAAUAUUACCAGUAAUGCACCUGGUCGCCAUGAGAACAAGAUCACCUUACCAGUGAGGCAUCGCCAGUCUUAUGAUCGCCAAAAGCUCCAUUUGUACGAUGAUAAUUUUGAUUAUGUCAUGAUUGCCGAUCUUUAUUAUAAAUCAACAGAAUUUCUCCAAGUUAAUUUUAUCGCCAAUAAUGUAUGUCACCAAUCUUUUAAAGCGCCAGUUCUGUUGUCGCCAUUAUCAAGAACGCUCAUUUAUUAAAAAGUGAUAAGGCGUCUUGAUCGCCAUUGUGGAUGUCGACAUUAUCAAGAAUGCCCAUUCAUUGGAAAUAAUAAGGCGUUUUGAUCGCCAUUAUCAAUAACACCAAUUCAUGAAAAAAUGAUAAGGCAUCCUGAUCGCUAUUAUUAAAGACGCCCAUUCAUUGAGAAAACAAAAAUGGUACGGGAAAUGAAGGCAUUUAGAUCACCAGUUUCAAAUCACCACUCGGCUAAACUUUUAAGGCUAAAAAAUUUAACUCGCCAGUUUAUUAACAAUUCACAAUGGCGUCAGUACGACCAAAUGAAGAGAAAGAUAUAGAACGAGGAAUGAAAGUUUUUAUUCAUUAAAAAGUAAAUGGAUUACAACUUGGGUUUUUAUCAUUAAAAAGUAAAUGGAUUACAGCUCGCCAUUACAAAAAAAAUAAAAAAAUAUAAUUGUUUGAGGAAGGGGGUUGGCAUCACCCUUAUUCUUCCCCUUAUCUUCCUUAUUUUCCCCCUUGUUUUCCUUUUCUUCCUCCCCGGCCUCAUCCUCCUCGGCGAGCAGGUCGUGAUCGAGACCCAUGCCUUCUAGGUCAAUGGCAAGGUCGGGAUGAUGACGGCGGAAAUUGCCGUUAACAGAAAUCAAAUCCCUCGCUGAAAUAAUUGGAGGUAGCAUCUUAACUGCUCCCAAGAAGUCAGACGAGGAUUUGAACUCCUCCUAGGCAAAUGUUUUGACCCGGGCCAUAGUUUCCCAAAGCUCUACCACCAAAACCCCCGACCUUUUUAACUUGUCAGCGAUGGCAUCUCGAUCAUCCUUCAACUUGGUAGCUUGUCCACGGCCUACUACUCUCAAGCUCGGGCCUCGGCCAGUUGUUGUUCCAACUCGCCAGCCAACUUCUGGAGGUGGAAUACCUCGCUUUCCAAAGAGGCAUCCCGCCCUUGCUAAAGAGAUGCCUCUUCCCCCACUUCCCUACUCCAGACAGUUAGAGAGGAUCUGAGCACGAGCGCCUGCUACAAAAAAAAAAUUUAAGGAUGCCCAAAACAUAAUAAAAUACCAAAGGAAAAAUUAAGGUUGGAAUCGAGGUAGUACCGGCCGAUAAUGUGGAAAAGCCUAGAAGCCGUCUAAUCUAGGGUAAUAUUUCCCACUUUUUCCUUGUUAGCGAGCGGGAUUGCCCUUACAGUAUCUACUUGCCAUAGACAGGUUGCCCAAAAUAGAGGCCGUAAGUCCCAGGGCGGUACCAAGAUUGGUCAAGUUACCCUCCUUGGGCUUCGGCGAAGAAGUGGCUCUUGAGCACGCCACAUCGCCAGGCCUGGUCCCCUUCUUUUUGGCCUCGGACGUAGAGGCAGACUUCUUUCCCUAGGAGUUGUCAACAACCUUGCCCUUUUUGCUGGGCGAGUUGGCGGGGUCAUCUCUUGGUCGUUUCUCGCCAAUCACUACUCCUUCGGCUGGAGUGGACCCCACCAUCGAGCCUCCAUUCUUGGAUUUCUCUACCUUUUCACCGAGCUUCUUAAAGCUGAUUUUUUUCGACAUUCCUACAAACAAAUACCGACAUCAGAUCAAAAAAGAGAUGGAAUAAUAAAAUAGGUCGGAUUUUUGCCCCUAAGACCUAAUUCCCAGGCACCUAAAAUAGGUUGGAUUUUUGCCCCCAAGACCGAUAGCAGAAUUUGAUCGGGAAGAUGAGAUAUGAUCCUAUCUGUCCUCCUAAUUAUUCCUAUACACUCUAUUGAGCUGUCUCGGGAGAGGCCACCUCAGGAUAGUUCAUAUCGGGAAUGGCGGGACUCACUCGCGUCACUCGAUGAGGUGGGAGCAUCGGGGGGUUUUUUUUUUUUUUUUUUUAAGUCAGUCCUCGCCAGUGCGUCCCCCCAAACGCCAUAGCCCCCCUUGUGGAUGCCGAGCCCUGCAUAAAAGAUUUGACGCACGAGAAGAACAUGGACCGAGUAGACCCUUUUUCCUCUACUGAGCUCGCCACUUCGCCAAAUCUUUUCAGUUCAAACAAUCAGGGCAGCCCAUUGCAGCGUUUACCUAGAGAGCAUAUUAGAUAAUUAAUAAAAAUAAUAAAAUAAUAAAAUAUAUAAAGGAAAAGCAGUAAAAAUUGGGACUUACCUAGGGUUUCUCAUGAUCUUAGGACUGUUGGAGCCCCGACCUCUCUUGUUGCUCCUUCAGGAAACUCCCAGCCGUCUCCCAAGAUAAAGAAAAAAUUUUUCCUUCAUCCUUUGACAUUGCUGGGAUAUCCUCCGAGCAGGGCCUUCUUUGACUCUCGCCUUAAAAUACAGCCAUCCUUGAUCUGGCUUUAGAUUCUUGUUCAGGAUGAACAGAUUCCUAAACUCGGUAAAGGAAAGGGAGUACUUGUGAGCGCCAUAACACUAUCGCACAGACUAUGCUCCUCCAUGCAUUGGAAAUGAGUUCAGCAGGACAGAUGUUAUAGAAUUGCAAAAUCAUCCUGAUUGUAGGAUGAAUGGGGAAGCGCAGACCAGCAUGAAAGGCGGCCUCAUAAAAAGCCACCUCGCCUGGGCGAAAAGAACUAAUUAUUUCGCUCGCCUCAGGAAGUCUUAUUUAGAUGCACGACAGGAUAAAAUAGGACUCCAUAAGGCAAUCUAAGUCGAUUAGGGUCAUGAUGUUCUCUUUUUCGAGUAAGGGGAGGGAGUCCCCGUAGGGCUACCCUCCGAACUAGAAAAAUCCCUCCUUGGUGAGGAAGGACUCAUAUUGACCUCAUCCUUCAUGUAGGAUUUCUCACUUAAGUAGUCGGAUAUCAAGAGGGUAGAGAGUUUUCUGAGCCUCUUGGUCAGUUCUACCGGGCAUAUACUAUGAGCACAAGUAAAAGCUAAAGUGAAUUGGUUAACACUUACUGAGUUGAGGGCGAGAAUGCGACCACGAAUGAAGGCAAGGUGAAAAUUGGAAUAGGAGUAGCAAUUCGACAGCGCAAACAAAAAAAGUACAAAUUAGUAGGGGGAAAUCCUAUUUAUAAGAAGUACCAAAGGCUGAGAUCUAUCCACUCCAACGUAUUGCGCGACGUUUCGAAUCCCAAGCUCGUAACCGUCUCUCCCGCCAAAAACAUCAUUAAUGCGCCAUUGCUCCCGCCAAAAACAUCAUUAAUGCGCUGCCCUUCCCGCCGAAUGCAUCAUUAAUGCGUCGCCAUUCCAUCCAAAACAUCAUUUUGACAUUCAAUACCCUUGUCCACGUGUCCAACUGUGAAGACGCGCCAUCAUUUUAUGCUAACGUCGUCGAGAUGCUGUUAUUUUGUCUGUGACUCGAAGAUCCCAAGUGCUUCACCUCGCAUCUCGAGUAAGGGGCUACUAAUGUGGGGUAAAACAUCCACCUAUUGAUAUUCUAAGUCGGGCAUGUCGCCUGGAGGAUUACGUCGUCAUAGUACCUGUAUAAUCCUGGUCACCCAUCGCAUCAACGCCAAUCGAUUACUUCGUUGACGUAUGUACAAGCCUUUCUCCAGCUUGCUCUACGGCGAGGUAGUUCACAUCGUCAGACCAAAAGACCAUCUCCAUGAAACCUCUAUCUCCAUAAGGACUCCGUCUACCCUAGAUUCCUUCUUCGUCACGCUUCCGCUUGAUCAAAGUCCGUGUCUGCAAGGAUUCCACCUCUACAAGGAAACUGUAUCUAUCAUGACUCCUAUAAUUGCGAAUUGUUCUCCACAUGGCAGUCUCCUAUUAUUACUCCGGUACCUCAGGGAUAUACUUACCAAACACAACUAUCCGGAGAUCUCUCCUAAAUAUCCUCACACGGAUCUCUAGCCUACAACUAUAUAAAAGUCGUUAUCCCGUCUUAUUGAUGUAUAACUAGUUAACUUUACAUACAUGCAACUAUUGCCCGGUGUUUACAUUUCUUUUCUUGUGCACGCCUUGAUCUGAUUUGCACACCGGAGGAGUUUUGAGCGGUAUCACCUCAGUCGAUAACGUUUGUUCGGUUCUACGUAGGUCGCCCCAGUAGUAGCCGAGAUCCAGUACCCAAGUGAGAAGAGCAAUAUUGACGUUAGUU